GGGCAAGUGGCGGAAUGGCAGACGCAGCAGACUUAAAAUCUGAAGCCCAUCGGGUGUGUGGGUUCGAAUCCCACCUUGCUCA
rnacentral:tRNA from 1 species